rnacentral:lncRNA from 1 species
GGCAAUCCGGCAGGGUUCCCUUCCGCAGGGUGGAAGCUUUGUUUUUUCGCUCUUUGGGUCCACACGGCCUUUAUGAGCUGUAACACUUACCGCAAAGGUCUGCGGCUUCACUCCUGAAGCCAGUGAGACCACGAGCCCACCGGGAGGCAGGAACAACUCCAGACGCGCUGCCUUAAGACCUGUAACACUCACGGUGAGGGUCUGCAGCAUCACUCCUGAGCCAGCGAGACCACGAACCCACCAGAAGGAAGAAACUCCGAACACAUCCAAACAUCAGAAGGAACAAACUCCAGACGUGCCACCUUAAGAGCUGUAACACUCACCGUGAGGGUCCGCGGCUUCAUUCUUGAAGUCAGUGAGACCAAGAACCCAUCAAUUCCGGACACACUAGGAAGAAGUUUUAUAGAAGACGUCUCCUUCCAUUCUC